rnacentral:rRNA from 1 species
UACGUAGGGGGCUAGCGUUGUCCGGAAUCAUUGGGCGUAAAGCGCGUGUAGGCGGUCCGGUAAGUCCGCUGUGAAAGUCGGGGGCUCAACCCUCGAAUGCCGGUGGAUACUGUCGGGCUAGAGUGCGGAAGAGGCGAGUGGAAUUCCUGGUGUAGCGGUGAAAUGCGCAGAUAUCAGGAGGAACACCAACGGCGAAGGCAGCACUCUGGGCCGGAACUGACGCUGAGGAGCGAAAGCGUGGGUAGCGAACAGG